rnacentral:sRNA from 1 species
CCAACCUAAACUUUUAAGAUGAUCCCUAGCAGGAUUAAAGUCCUCCCUGAGCAGGCAGAGGCAAAGCUAUUCAGCAAAACAAGGUCAUGCUGCCUUUUUUUUUUUUUUUUUGGUAAGCACAGGAAUCAACAAAGCGCUGUUAUAUAACUUCUAUUUAUAUCCCACUUGCUCACUAGCUGCAGGCACACAAGAGUAGCUGAGAAGGGAAUUUAAUGAGCUCUCAGGGCUUGCUCACCUUCCAGAGCGGGUUGGAGCCAGCUUGUUUUUGAAGUGCGUCAGCAAAUGAAACUGGUGGUGGGUGGGUGGUUUGGGUAGGUGGACUGACUUGUUGCUAUGGUUUUCUUUAAUUCCUCUGUCUCUCAA